UACGUAGGGUGCAAGCGUUAAUCGGAAUUACUGGGCGUAAAGCGUGCGCAGGCGGCUUUGCAAGACAGACGUGAAAUCCCCGGGCUCAACCUGGGAACUGCAUUUGUGACUGCAUGGCUGGAGUGCGGCAGAGGGGGAUGGAAUUCCGCGUGUAGCAGUGAAAUGCGUAGAUAUGCGGAGGAACACCGAUGGCGAAGGCAAUCCCCUGGGCCUGCACUGACGCUCAUGCACGAAAGCGUGGGGAGCAAACAGG
rnacentral:rRNA from 1 species